GCUGGAGCUCAGUGGUAGAACACGUGCUUAGCAUGCACAAGGCCCUGGGUUCAAUCCCCAGGACUAGAA
rnacentral:tRNA from 1 species